rnacentral:rRNA from 1 species
UACGGGGGGAGCAAGCGUUGUUCGGAUUUACUGGGCGUAAAGAGUGCGUAGGCGGUCCUGUAAGUUUGGUGUGAAAUCUCCCGGCUCAACUGGGAGGGUGCGCCGAAGACUGCAGGGCUUGAGUAUGGGAGAGGUAAGCGGAAUUCCUGGUGUAGCGGUGAAAUGCGUAGAUAUCAGGAGGAACACCUGUGGUGUAGACAGCUUACUGGACCAUAACUGACGCUGAGGCACGAAAGCGUGGGUAGCAAACAGG